rnacentral:rRNA from 1 species
UACGUAGGGUGCAAGCGUUGUCCGGAAUUAUUGGGCGUAAAGAGCUCGUAGGCGGUUUGUCGCGUCUGCUGUGAAAUCCCGAGGCUCAACCUCGGGCCUGCAGCGGGUACGGGCAGACUAGAGUGCGGUAGGGGAGAUUGGAAUUCCUGGUGUAGCGGUGGAAUGCGCAGAUAUCAGGAGGAACACCGAGUGGAGCGAAG